GUGCUCGCUUGCAGCAGCACAUAUACCAAAAUUGGAACAAUACAGAGAUUAGCAUGGCCCCUGCGCGAGGAUGACAAAACAAAAAAGAGUUCAGACUCAACCUU